CGCCACUGCCAGGCCUGGCCCUGUUGCUGGGGCACCCUGGCCCGUCUGCCCUGCGCAUACCACCAGGGGUGGGACCCAUGAGGGCAGGGCACAGCUGGGUGAAUGGGAUGGGGGCUCUGUCCUGGACCCCAGCCCCACACUGUCACUACCCUGCAUUCCCAGCCCUGGCCUGCCCACCUGUCUGACUCCCAGAUGCCACUCCCUGUCUGCCCACAGCCCUAUCGAAGCUGCCCGGCCACGUGCGACUUAGGGCUACUCAGGGAGUUUUGGGUGCUGACCCACCCUAUGACAGCUCACUAAAAUUCCCUAAUUGGCCCUGGUCAAAAUAAUUGCCUAUCCCCAAGCUAAGGGCUCUCUGAACAGCUUGGAGAGAAUCCUCUUCCAGUGACACUUAUCCCUCACUAGUUUUGGGCAGCUCGUGUUGCAAUCCAAUGUGACCAUUUUUCAGGCUGGAGACCAGUUGGGAGUGGUUCUCCGGCAUCUUAGGAGGCACUGCUCCCAGCCCUUCCCAAGUGGGUGCUCUGUCUUUCCCCAGAGUGACAGCAAGGAUAACUGGGAGAGCUGCAAAGGUAAGAAUCCUCAUUUUCCCUUCCUGUCCCAUCCCUGCGAACCCUCCCCUACCACCCCAUGCCAGGGCUCUCCCUCUGUCUCUCCUGCCAACCCUUAAUGGGCAGCUGCUCACAGCUCAUGCUAACCUGAACCCCAACAAUCAUUCCUUAAAGUUGGCAUGGGCUCAUUGGAAGGUCUAACUGCCCCCUUACAGCUACUGAUCUAAUUCAGAUCUCCUUCCAGCCUCUCUCUACAAAUAGUCCUGUCAACAUGUAGUCACUUAAAAUGCUUAGUCUGGGUUGUUUUAAUGCCAUGGGAUGGCAUCAUAGACUUUAAAAACCUAUAUCAGUAACCACAAACACCUGCUUUUAUUUUCUGUUAUUCAAUAACAGAAAGUUUUAUUGUACCAAAUCCAUUAGAAUUGUUUGCAUAACACCAAACCAGCCUUUGACCCUCCCAAGCUUGUUCAUUAUUGUUUUGAGCAGGCAUAGUCUCAAACCACGAGAACACAGGAAGGUGAUUCUUAGCUUGGGGUACUAAGAAGGAACUUAGGACCUCCUGCCAUCAUAAAAUGCUGCCUGUCCUCACUAUGUGCCUCCUGAUGUCACAAAAUGCUGUAUUCUUGGGCAGGGCUACAUACAACUGUCUAUGGGAAAACACUGGUUCUGGUAAGCAGAGGCCAACGGAGUCAAACGUUUGUCCUUGUGAUUUUAUUAAUUGUUAUUGCAAAGGCUGUUAUUAUGGGGAAAUUGUCUCCUUUUCAAAAUGAAAGGUAGCUGUGUCUCUGGAGCCAAAUCAGUCCUGGGAAUGAUGCUGUGUUCUCCUAUAUUAGUACCUGUAAUUAUUUCAGCAUCUAGGAAAUUUUGGUUUAAUCCUCCUUAUUACCAGUCAAGUUCCAUUGCAGAGUCCCAUUUUUGGAUUCAUAUUUCUGAGUAACAUAACAAUAGUAUCAAUUUUCAAUUGCAAUUCAUGCGGUGGCAGUCCUGAUGGUGUUUGAGCAUUUUCGGAAUUGUCUAUUAUCACUGAAUCUGUGCUGUAGUAUUUUUUUUCACUUCACCAGGCAGCAAAGUUUAUAAUUUUAGUAUUCAAUUUCAUGGCACAUUUAUUCUUAGGAGUUAGGAUAAUUUUCUUCACAAGGGAAUCCAAGUUUUCUACUUCAAUGUGCUUUCCCGUAAACUGCUUUGACAAUGGGACUCCAUUUCAAUAAAGGCUUCUGGUAUUUCAAUUGUAUCUGUGGCAACCUAUAACCAUUCAAUAUUCUUUCUUCACUAAUUCUGAGAGUACAUUCAUUGAAUCGAUGUUGUCCUUCAGUUUGCUUAUUUUGUGAUAAUUUGAUUUUGGUGAAAUGUGACCACAGAUGAUUAUUACUUACGCAUGCCUCAAUUGUCUCCAUUCUUGUACAUCUUAUUACCACUGGUAAUGUUUGUCUGAAGUCUCUGCCUAAUAAAAUCAGUUUUUCCUC